rnacentral:rRNA from 1 species
AACGAACGCUGGCGGCAUGCCUAACACAUGCAAGUCGAACGAAUGUAGCAAUACAUGAGUGGCGAACGGGUGAGUAACGCGUGGGAACCUGCCUAGUGGUAGGGAAUAACCGCGGGAAACUGCGGCUAAUACCCUAUGAGCCCUCCGGGGGAAAGAUUUAUCGCCAUUAGAGGGGCCCGCGUCGGAUUAGCUAGUUGGUGGGGUAACGGCCCACCAAGGCGACGAUCCGUAGCUGGUCUGAGAGGAUGAUCAGCCACACUGGGACUGAGAUACGGCCCAGACUCCUACGGGAGGCAGCAGUGGGGAAUAUUGGACAAUGGGGGCAACCCUGAUCCAGCAAUGCCGCGUGAGUGAAGAAGGCCUUAGGGUUGUAAAGCUCUUUCGGCGGGAAGAUGAUGACGGUACCCGCAGAAGAAG